ACAACCACCCUCAACUUCCCGUUUUCCACCCAAAUACCAUCCCCGAACUUCGUCUUCUCAGCGCCUAAAGACAUUAGCCGCAGAACAGAACAAAAACGACUCUGCCCUUCAUCUUCUUCGGCGCUAAAUCACAAAUAGAGACCCCAUGUACGAAUCUCUUAAAAGCUCAGUGAAAAGCAUUUAAAAGCAUCACAAACCCAUCGUAAGAAAAGUUUAAUGAAAAGCAACUUCAAAUCUCCGGCCAAACAAUCACAAACCCAUCGUAAGAAAAGCAUCACUAUCAGCCACAUAUAAUCAACACAAACCUCCACCAAAGUCCAGCCCCAAAACGCAACCACGGAUUUGAGUCGAACCGUCGAGCUUUCUGUUAGCAGAUCCAAGGUGUCGAUUCGAGGUCCGUUGUUGAAUCCUGUCGCGGUUCUACUCGUUGUGGAGUUUCACAAUAAUAAAAUUCAAAUCAUUCAUUUGAGGUAUGCCCUUCAUCUUUGUUUCUUCUAUGCUUUUGUGAACGAUGAUACCAUGUUAGAUUUAAGUUGCUCUUAAUGCUUGAACAUGUUUUCAUGCCUGAAGGGCUAUCUUAUCUUCUUGUACUCGUUGAUUUGAUAUUUUUUAGCAUGCUAAAUGGUUUAAGUUAAUACAGUAGGAUUUUUCAUUCAUUUUAAGUAGAUACAUAAGUAUAUGAAUGAGUUAUUUAGUAGUGGCGUGAGUUUUUAAACUAAAAUAUAAGUUCGAGUCCUUGGAAUUUUGGGUGGGAUUGGGAAUAAAAAAAGGUAUAAAAUAAAUAAGUUUUCAUGUCAGCGGGAGGAGAGUUUCAAUCAUACUUCUAUUUGGAAUAUAAUUCUUUGAGUUAUUGAUUCAUGCCUACGGCAUGCUUAGAUCGUUAGGAACAACUUUCCCUAUAAUAAAACUGACGCGUGCCAUUCAUACAAUUGAAUCACAUAAUCUAUGGCCCUCAUAUUAAUUAUCUUAACUUAUAUAGAAAAUGCCUUGAACUUUCGUAGUUUGCUUUAGGCGCGUUAAUUAAAUAAAUUGUCAUAGCUACGGGUACGGUUCCCGUGACGUAGUUGUGAUGCUUGAUUUCUAAAUCCGGGGGUACAUUUAUGUGACCCGGCCACAAUUUAACCUUGUUAAUAAAAUAAACAUGUUGUGGAUCAUGGGUACGGUUCUCGUGAUAUGAUUCGCAACGUGUAAUCAAAUAAUUAGUUGUAUAACAAUUGGAUUAUUAAAAGCGGUUUUAAAAGGGAUAAAAUGCACGUAGGUUUAAAAUGUGUAAUUAAUCAGAUAAUUAGGCCAAUAAUAUUAGUUGAUCAAUCGUGCUAGAACCACGGAACCUAGGAAUGACUAACACGGAACCUAGGAAUGACUAACACCUUCUCCCGAGUUAACAGAAUUCCUCACCCGGAUUUCUGUGUUCGUAGACCGUAAAUAGAGCCAAUCUUCCUCGAUUCGGGAUUUUAACCGGUGACUUGGGACACCAUAAAUUAUCCCAAGUGGCGACUCAGAAUUUUAAAUAAAAUAAUCCCGUUUCGAUUGUCACUUCAAUUGGAAAAAACUCUCUUAAUAUCCCAUGCGGAGUGGUAGAAAAGAGGUGUGAAAGCUCUGGCGACUCUGCUGGGGACAAGAACCCAGAAUCUCUGGUUCAAGGUUCAAAAAUUCGAGUUUAGAAUAAUUGUUAUAUUUGGCUUUAUUUAUUGUCUAAUUUUAUUUACAUGUUUGGGCCUAAUGUGCUAAAUGUUGCUUUUUACCGCUUUGAUAUUAUCAGGAGUGUAUAUAAACUACUAUGAAACCCCUCUCUUCUAAUCUUCUGAGAAGUGCACGCUGGCGUGACUUCUUUCUGUUAGUGUCAUACCCUAAUUAGAAUGAGGUUCGGAUAAGUUGCAAAGUCGGGUGAUCUUUUGGUUAUCGAUACGCUGCCCUCUCCCGGCUCGAGUUGUCCGCUCGGGUAAGCCAGGUCUAGAACAAUAUACUCAGGUUUUAAACCUAGAAUAACCCAGCCUCAUGCCGGAUCCCUAGUAGGAACGUUUGUUUGCAUCAUGUAUAUUUGAUUUUGGGGACUCAACACAGGGGUUAGGUCCGUCUAGGACAGGUGUACCCAAAAUAAAAGACCAUCUUGAUGCAUCUUAUGUGCUAUAUGUUACGUUCUUCAGGGGCAAAAAGGGUCAUUUGGCGGACCAAUGCGGGUUGAGGGAAAAGGAGAAAGAGAAGAGUGUGAAGUGUGAAGUGUAAAAUAAAGUAAGUAGGGCCCAGUUAUAAUUUUAUUUCACGCUUUUUCAAGAAAAGACUAAAAAAUAAAAAUGAAAAAUCCAAAAUGAUUUUGCAAUUUCCCAUUAUUUUUUCAAAAAAAAAUUAGAGAAAAAGAGGAAAAAGAAAAUCCAAAAAAGAGUUUACAUGUUUCAUCAUUUUUUUUCAAAAAAAAAAACAUUUUCUCUAAAUUAGCUGUUUUUUUCAAUUCUCGCCCGUAUCCAAUCUGUCCGAACUACGCAUACCUGAUUCUCGUCUUUCGGGGCGUGAUACGUAGGCAACCCACAUAGGGUCCGGUCUUCCUAGCUAAUCUUAGGUUCUUGGCUUUGCGGGAUCUUAGCCGAAUUUUGCACUUCUAGCCACAUUUUGGUCACAUAAGCCAUUUUGCAAAAAUAGUCUCAAUCAUGUCUUGCAUGCAAUAGGGAGGGCUAUUGUCUCACAUGGUGCUCUAGGUCUUAAACUCUAUUUGGCCUUAAUUUUCUCAUACAGGUGUGGGUCUACUUACCGGAGUUUGAGCAUGACAGACACCCCAGGACCAUCUAGUCAGGAUCGCUCAUUCAGGAGUUGCUUGAGGAGAUUUUUUAUUUUUCAUGUUUUGAGUUUGUUCUUCAUUUUAUGUCGUCUUUUACUUUCUAGUUUUGUACAGUAAUGUCGAGUCUUUUGUUAUUGUACUUUCUACUUUGUAUUUGAAAAGUGUGUUGUACCUCAAAAAUCCAAAAAAAAAGAGGUUUUGCGUUUUAUAUUUUCGUUAGAAGUUUUCUUUUGAAUACUAAUAAAAAAAAUCAUUUGAGGUGGUUUUCCUUUA
rnacentral:lncRNA from 1 species